AGUGAACGCUGGCGGUAGGCCUAACACAUGCAAGUCGAACGGCAGCACAGGAGAGCUUGCUCUCUGGGUGGCGAGUGGCGGACGGGUGAGGAAUGCAUCGGAAUCUACUCUUUCGUGGGGGAUAACGUAGGGAAACUUACGCUAAUACCGCAUACGACCUACGGGUGAAAGCCGGGGACCUUCGGGCCUGGCGCGAAAGAAUGAGCCGAUGCCCGAUUAGCUAGUUGGCGGGGUAAGAGCCCACCAAGGCGACGAUCGGUAGCUGGUCUGAGAGGAUGAUCAGCCACACUGGAACUGAGACACGGUCCAGACUCCUACGGGAGGCAGCAGUGGGGAAUAUUGGACAAUGGGCGCAAGCCUGAUCCAGCCAUACCGCGUGGGUGAAGAAGGCCUUCGGGUUGUAAAGCCCUUUUGUUGGGAAAGAAAAGCAGUCGGUUAAUACCCGAUUGUUCUGACGGUACCCAAAGAUAAGCACCGUAAUUCA
rnacentral:rRNA from 1 species